UCGAGGGGCAGCACAUGACGUAGCAAUACUGAUGGUGGCGACCGGCGCACGGGUGAGUAACACGUAUGCAACCUACCUUCAACAGGAGAAUAACCCGUCGAAAGACGGACUAAUACUCCAUAACACAGGGAUCCCGCAUGGGAAUAUUUGUUAAAGAUUUAUUGGUUGAAGAUGGGCAUGCGCUCCAUUAGCUAGUUGGUGAGGUAACGGCUCACCAAGGCAACGAUGGAUAGGGGAACUGAGAGGUUUAUCCCCCACACUGGUACUGAGACACGGACCAGACUCCUACGGGAGGCAGCAGUGAGGAAUAUUGGUCAAUGGAGGCAACUCUGAACCAGCCACGUCGCGUGAAGGAUGACGGCCCUACGGGUUGUAAACUUCUUUUGUAAGGGAAUAAAGUUAGUUACGUGUAACUAUUUGCAUGUACCUUACGAAUAAGGAUCGGCUAACUCCGUGCCAGCAGCCGCGGUAAUACGGAGGAUCCAAGCGUUAUCCGGAUUUAUUGGGUUUAAAGGGUGCGUAGGCGGAAGAUUAAGUCGGUGGUGAAAUUUUGCAGCUCAACUGUAAAAGUGCCAUUGAUACUGGUUUUCUUGAGUAUGGAUGAAGUAGGCGGAAUUUGUGGUGUAGCGGUGAAAUGCAUAGAUAUCACGAGGAACUCCGAUUGCGCAGGCAGCUUACUAAACCAUAACUGACGCUCAGGCACGAAGGCGUGGGGAUCAAACAGGAUUAGAUACCCUGGUAGUCCACGCAGUAAACUAUGAUUACUCGCUGU
rnacentral:rRNA from 1 species